rnacentral:rRNA from 1 species
UCGGGAAUUUUGGGCAAUGGGGGAAACCCUGACCCAGCAACGCCGCGUGAAGGAUGAAGUAUUUCGGUAUGUAAACUUCGAAAGAAUAGGAAGAAUAAAUGACGGUACUAUUUAUAAGGUCCGGCUAACUACGUGCCAGCAGCCGCGGUAAUACGUAGGGUGCGAGCGUUAAUCGGAAUUACUGGGCGUAAAGCGUGCGCAGGCGGCCGCGCAAGUCAGGUGUGAAAUCCCCGGGCUUAACCUGGGAAUUGCGCUUGAAACUAUGCGGCUUGAGUGUGGCAGAGGGGGUGGAAUUCCACGUGUAGCAGUGAAAUGCGUAGAGAUGUGGAGGAACACCGAUGGCGAAGGCAGCCCCCUGGGCCAACACUGACGCUCAGGCACGAAAGCGUGGGGAGCAAACAGGAUUAGAUACCCUUGUAGUCCUGAGCGGGCUGGCAAGGCGCAU